rnacentral:rRNA from 1 species
UACAGAGGAUGCAAGCGUUAUCCGGAAUGAUUGGGCGUAAAGCGUCUGUAGGUGGCUUUUUAAGUCCGCCGUCAAAUCCCAGGGCUCAACUCUGGACAGGCGGUGGAAACUACCAAGCUGGAGUACGGUAGGGGCAGAGGGAAUUUCCGGUGGAGCGGUGAAAUGCGUAGAUAUCUGGAGGAACACCGGUGGCGAAGGCGGCAUCCUGGACCGACACUGACACUGAGGAGCGAAAGCUAGGGGAGCAAACGGG